rnacentral:lncRNA from 1 species
AGGAAGUUUGUUGUUCUGCUGGGAAAGAAAAUCAGAAACCAUAGGAAGGCUGACCUGUUGCACACAAGCUUCAGCUUGGGAGAAAUAAUCAAUCCAUUGAAACAGCUCAAAGUACCUACGCCGAAUCUGGCCCGCCUCAGGACAUGAACACUUGAGAAGCACAUGAACUUCAUCUUGAUCCUCAUGCAAGCUGCAUCUAUCACAAAUAGGAGAAAUCUGUUCACAGGACCAAAU